UUGUGAGGUUAAGCGACUAAGCGUACACGGUGGAUGCCCUGGCAGUCAGAGGCGAUGAAGGACGUGCUAAUCUGCGAUAAGCGUCGGUGAGGUGAUAUGAACCGUUAUAACCGGCGAUUUCCGAAUGGGGAAACCCAGUGUGUUUCGACACACUAUCAUUAACUGAAUCCAUAGGUUAAUGAGGCGAACCGGGGGAACUGAAACAUCUAAGUACCCCGAGGAAAAGAAAUCAACCGAGAUUCCCCCAGUAGCGGCGAGCGAACGGGGAGGAGCCCAGAGCC
rnacentral:rRNA from 1 species